rnacentral:rRNA from 1 species
CACGUAGGGCGCAAGCGUUGUCCGGAAUUAUUGGGCGUAAAGAGCUCGUAGGCGGUCUGUUACGUCUGCUGUGAAAACCCGGGGCUUAACCCUGGGCUUGCAGUGGAUACGGGCAGACUAGAGGCAGGUAGGGGAGAAUGGAAUUCCCGGUGUAGCGGUGAAAUUCGUAGAUAUUGGGAAGAACACCAGUGGCGAAGGCGGCUAACUGGUCCAGCACUGACGCUGAGGUGCGAAAGCGUGGGGAGCAAACAGG